GGCUCAGAACGAACGCUGGUGGCGUGGCUAAGACAUGCAGGUCGAACGGACUCGUUAAUUUAUUAGCGAGUUAGUGGCGAAAGGGUGAGUAAUGGAUAGGUAACGUACCCCGAGCUCUGGGAUAGCCAUCCGAAAGGAUGGGUAAUACCGGAUAACAUCACGGGUCGAUGGGCUCGUGAUCAAAGAUUCAUCGGCGCGGGAGCGGCCUAUCUCCUAUCAGCUAGUUGGUGAGGUAAUGGCCCACCAAGGCGAAGACGGGUAGCGGGACUGAGAGGUUGGCCCGCCACAUCGGAACUGAGGCACUGUCCGGACCCCCACGGGGGGCUGCAGUAACGAAUCUUGGGCAAUGGGCGAAAGCCUGACCCAGCGACGCCGCGUGCGGGAGGAAGUCCUUCGGGAUGUAAACCGCUGUCAGGGACGUGAAAGUCCACUUCGGAGGAUUGAUCUAACCCAGAGGAAGUCACGGCUAACUCUGUGCCAGCAGCCGCGGUAAGACAGAGGUGGCUAGCGUUGUUCGGUAUCACUGGGCUUAAAGCGUGUGUAGGCGGGAGCGUAAGCAUUUUGUGAAAUCCCCCGGCUCAACCGGGGCAUUGCUUGAUGUACUGCGUUCCUUGAGGCAAGUAGGGGUGCGAGGAACUCCUGGUGGAGCGGUGGAAUGCGUAGAUAUCAAGAGGAACGCCGAUGGUGAAGACAUUGCACUAGGCUUGUCCUGACGCUGAGACACGAAAGCGUGGGGAGCGAACGGGAUUAGAUACCCCGGUAGUCCACGCCGUAAACGAUGCCUACUAGAUUGUGGCGGUUCUGACGCCGGCACAGUCGAAGCCAAAGUGUUAAGUAGGCCGCCUGGGGAGUACGGUCGCAAGGCUAAAACUCAAAGGAAUUGACGGGGGCUCACACAAGCGGUGGAGCAUGUGGAUUAAUUCGAAGCAACGCGCAGAACCUUACCUGGGUUUGACAUGCUUGGAUGCCUUUCUGGAAACAGAGUAGGCUACCCUUCGGGGUGAAACUUGCACAGGUGCUGCAUGGCUGUCGUCAGCUCGUGUCGUGAGAUGUCGGGUUAAGUCCUAACGAGCGAAACCCUUGCCGUUAGUUGCCAGCGGGUCAUGCCGGGAACUCUAACGGGACUGCCUCGGUUAACGGGGAGGAAGGUGGGGAUGACGUCAAGUCAUCAUGGCCUUUAUGCCCAGGGCCUCACACGUGCUACAAUGGCUGGUACAAAGCGACGCGAGACCGCAAGGUGGAGCUAAUCGCAAAAAACCGGCCCCAGUUCGGAUUGUAGGCUGGCAACUCGCCUGCAUGAAGUUGGAAUCGCUAGUAAUCGCGGAUCAGCUAUGCCGCGGUGAAUGUGUUCCUGAGCCUUGUACACACCGCCCGUCAAGUGAUGGGAGUUGGAAGUACCCGAAGUCGGAUUGCUAACCCGCAAGGGAGGCGUCUGCCGACGGUAAGUCCGACGACUGGCACUAAGUCGUAACAAGGUA
rnacentral:rRNA from 1 species